UACGUAGGGUGCGAGCGUUGUCCGGAAUUACUGGGCGUAAAGAGCUCGUAGGUGGUUUGUCGCGUUGUUCGUGAAAACUCACAGCUUAACUGUGGGCGUGCGGGCGAUACGGGCAGACUGGAGUACUGCAGGGGGAGACUGGAAUUCCUGGUGUAGCGGUGGAAAUGCGCAGAUAUCAGGAGGAACACCGGUGGCGAAGGCGGGUCUCUGGGCAGUAACUGACGCUGAGGAGCGAAAGCGUGGGGAGCGAACAGG
rnacentral:rRNA from 1 species